GUGCUCCUGGGGGUCUGGGGGUCCCCAAAGUGCCAUCGGGGGGUCUGGGGGUCCCCAAAGUGCCCCCCCUGUGGGGUCUGGGGGAGGGCGAAGGUCCAAAGUGUCCCGUGUCCCAUCUGGCCCCUCCCAGGGCAGAGUCCGGGGCGGUGCCACCUGUGCCAGGUGUGUCCCCUGUGCCAGGUGUGUCCCCUGUGCCGGGUGUGUCCCCUGGGCCAGGUGUGUCACACCCCCCUCCCCGUUUCCUGUGUCCGGAGGGGGGGUCAAAGUCCACCCCCCCCCCCUGGGAGGGGCCGGAAUUGGGGGGGCCCCCACGUGGGGGGGGUAUAAAGGUCCCCCUUCAGUGUCACCGCUGUCACCAGUGCCACCAGUGCCACCAGUGUCACCAGUGCCAGCAGCCAUGGCCUUUGUCCCCGCGCCCGGGUACAUGCCCGCCUACAACCCGCCCCUGCCCUACGUGGCCCCGGUGCCCCGGGGGCUCUCUCCUGGGAUGGCCAUUUACGUGCAGGGGGUGGUGGCCCACCACGCCCAAAGUUUCUGUGUGAACCUGGUGGCGGGCCCCAAGGA